rnacentral:lncRNA from 1 species
ACGUCUGCCGCCAGGCCCAGGCCAAGCACGCUCGGAGACAGAUCCAUCGUCCGUCCAUCCACCACAGGCAUGACAGGACAGGGGUCGACAUUGUUUUGGCGUCGCUGUUGGCCAGACAAACAGACCGCGACCGCUCCCGUGUGUACGGGGGGGACUGAGCACCGAGCGCUCGAUGGAUGAUGCUGACGGCCGGCACCGUCGCCGUCGCCGGCUCCCGUCGCUGUGGAGCGGAGCAGGGACGGGCCUGCCUCCCCGAAUGUAGGAGCGGCAGAGCGGUCACAGUUGCUUAACCCGACAAUUCUUAACAAAAAAAGAAGCUAUUUAACAUGACAGCGCCCGCGUUCUGCUACAGAUAGUGAGACACACUACCAGCUGGGUUCAGACUCCAGGAGUUGGGUGCAGAAUUGCCGAUCAGGCAUCGGAUCUUACCAGCGUUCCGUGAAGAUAGAUUACACUACGCAUACAGAUUAACGCCGUACCCACCACACGUCUAUACCAAUAAACCAUGAGGCGCGCGUCUACGUGCUAUUCGUCGGUGUCGCGAGUUUUUGGGACUGAAACCCGGUGUUUUGGUGUUGUCUGAAACUUUCGACAGACAUCACAGGACAGCAAGGCAAAGACAGUGGACUACUCACUACAGUGGCAUUUGUUCUCCAUGCCGGCCUGCUCAGAUCUGCCGCGUCAGUGGGAGUGGGCCAGACCACCGUCCUGGUUCCAAGGCAAGAUCACGAAUGCAAAACGAGAAAGGCUUGCUUGCUUUUCACGGGUGACCGCUUUGAGGAGCCAAUGCGCAGCGGCCUGAUCACCGGCCGGGGCAGAAGAAUACUUUC